AAUUCUUUCAAAGCAUGUUUGGUUCGCGUUAUUUAAUAUUAUAGGUUAUUUCGAUAUAACCAGCUGCUUGAGAUUUUUGAAUUAGAUUAUUACUGAUAUUGCAUUAUUGUGUUUGAUUUUUAAUACAGUAAUAUAAUGUUAGAGUAUGGUGUAUGUAAAAUUAUCAUGUUUGGUUUAUUUUAUAAAAUUUAGUAAUAUUAACAAUAAAGUAUAACUUAUUCCAAAUUUUUUUACUAAAUUGGAUCUCAGAUCGUUUGAUUUGCUACUAAAAUUUAAUCCAAAUCACCAGAAUUUAUUAACAUGAGAAAAG
rnacentral:lncRNA from 1 species